ensembl:snRNA U6 U6 spliceosomal RNA
GUACACUUCGGCAGCACAUAUACUACAUUUGGAACGAUACAGAGAUUAGCGUAGCCCCUAUGCAAGGAUGACUCUAGUAUUUGUUUGGACUGUGAGAGCAAA